rnacentral:rRNA from 1 species
UGGGGAAUAUUGGACAAUGGGCGCAAGCCUGAUCCAGCAAUGCCGCGUGUGUGAAGAAGGCCUUCGGGUUGUAAAGCACUUUUAUCAGGAGCGAAACGCUGUCGGCUAAUACCCGGCGGAACUGACGGUACCUGAGGAAUAAGCACCGGCUAACUUCGUGCCGGCAGCCGCGGUAAUACGAAGGGUGCAAGCGUUAAUCGGAAUUACUGGGCGUAAAGCGUGCGUAGGCGGUUUCUUAAGUCUGCUGUGAAAUCCCCGGGCUCAACCUGGGAAUGGCAGUGGAUACUGGGAGGCUAGAGUGUGUCAGAGGGUGGUGGAAUUCCCGGUGUAGCGGUGAAAUGCGUAGAGAUCGGGAGGAACAUCAGUGGCGAAGGCGGCCACCUGGGACAACACUGACGCUGAGGCACGAAAGCGUGGGGAGCAAACAGGAUUAGAUACCCUGGUAGUCCACGCCCUAAACGAUGCGAACUGGAUGUUGGUCUCAACUCGGAGAUCAGUGUCGAAGCUAACGCGUUAAGUUCGCCGCCUGGGGAGUACGGUCGCAAGACUGAAACUUAAAUGAAUUGACGGGGUCAUAGCUGUUUCC